ACCGGCAGCUCAAGUGGUGGCCAUUUUUAUUGGGCCUAAAGCGUUCGUAGCCGGUUUGAUAAGUCUCUGGUGAAAUCUCACGGCUUAACCGUGAGAAUUGCUGGAGAUACUAUUAGACUUGAGGCCGGGAGAGGUUAGCGGUACUCCCAGGGGUAGGGGUGAAAUCUUUUAUCCCUGGGAGACCAACCGGUGCGGAGGGGGGUAACUGGGACGGGACCUGCGGUGAGUAACGAAAGCCAGGGGCGCGAACCG
rnacentral:rRNA from 1 species